GACUCAACACGGGAAACCUCACCAGGCCCGGACACCGGAAGGAUUGACAGAUUAAUAGCUCUUUCUUGAUUCGGUGGGUGGUGGUGCAUGGCCGUUCUUAGUUGGUGGAGCGAUUUGUCUGGUUAAUUCCGGUAACGAACGAGACUCUGGCCUACUAAAUAGGCGUCGUCAUUGAUUCCGAGACUAGUUUUCGGCGCUCGCUGACGACGCAACAAAUGUCUUCUUAGAGGGACCGGCGACUUUGAGUCACGAGAAUGAGCAAUAACAGGUCUGUGAUGCCCUUAGAUGUCCUGGGCCGCACGCGCGCUACACUGAAAGAAUCAACAUGUCAUCCCGGGCCGAGCGGCCAGGGUAACCCGUUGAAACUCUUUCGUGCUGGGGAUUGGGGUUUGUAACUAUCCCCCAUGAACGAGGAAUUCCUAGUAAGCGCGAGUCAUGAGCUCGCGUUAAUUACGUCCCUGCCCUUUGUACACACCGCCCGUCGCUACUACCGAUCGAAUGAUUUAGUGAGGUCUUCGGACCG
rnacentral:rRNA from 1 species